rnacentral:rRNA from 1 species
GGAUUGCCCCAGUAACGGCGAGUGAAGCGGCAACAGCCCACACUGAAAAUCGCUUCGGCGAGUUGUACAGUGAAGACGUAGCUCUUGCGGAAGGCGGCCUCUGUAACUUCCUUGGAACAGGAGACCAGAGAGGGUGAUAGUCCCGUGCCAGAGGCUGCUGAUCGAUAGAGCGCGUUCUAAGAGUCGGGUAGUUUGGGAUUGCUGCCCUAAGCGGGAGGUAGACUCCUCCUAAGGCUAAAUAUUAACGAGAGACCGAUAGUGGACAAGUACUGUGAAGGAAAGAUGAAAAGAACUUUGGAAAGAGAGUUAAAAGACUUGAAACCGUUGAGGAGGAAGCAGUGUGCUAGGCAUAGUCAUAGGAUGAGGAGGAGAAGGGAGGCUGAACCUGAGUGGGAAGUCGAAGAUCUCCGAAUCAGCUAUGGCGCCUGGUAGACUGGCCCGUCUUGAAACACGGACCAAGGAGUCCAGCCUAUGUGCAAGUAGAGAGACUGUAAAUCUCGAUGCGUAACGAAAGUGAUCUCUGUAGCAGCAGAGGCCGCGUCAGCGAGCUCAGCAGAUAGGCUGGGACCCGAAAGAUGGUGAACUAUGCUUGGGAAAGGCGAAGCCAGGGGAAACUCUGGUGGAGGCUUGU